UGUAUUCAGUGUGACAAUAGAGCUUAUCUUAUCUUAUCUUAUCUACACACUACAUUAUACAGUGGUGGGUCUGGCAAAGUGACGCCUUAAGUUGAGGACUCGGGUCGGGAUGGAUCGCCGUUUGAAACAAAGCUAAAAUUCUCCUUUCUUGAACCUGCAGUGCUGCUAAAUGUUCUUUGUAUGAGGUGUAAUCUGAUCCUUGCCUCGUGUACACUGCAGGAGUACAGUGUGGUGGUGAAUCUGGCAAUGUGACGUUUGAGGUAGGGAUUCGAGUCAGCGUAGAUGUUUGAAACCGAGCUGAGAUAUGCCUUUCGUAGACCUGCCAUGCUCUCAUACGUCCUUUGUAUACCGUGUGAUAUUAUUGUUGCCUCAUACACACUACAGCAAUUGAGUGGCAUAUCCCUGCAUACCACAUACCGGAAAUAAAGAAAAGGUAUGACCAAGACUCGAAGCAGUGAACCUCGAGGACGAACCGAGUCUCGGAUUGGCCAGGCGGAGGUCCCACGCGCUGGCGUCACCACAUGAGGACCGAGGAGCCGCGCGGUUACGUGGAGAUCUGAAUUGCGCGUUAAUCACCCCAGUAAUGGAACACCUGUGUCAUUAGUUUGUGUAGUGAUCGUUAAUUGUACGUGACAGUAGUGCAGACCAAGGAAGGUUUAGACUCUGUAGCUUCCAUGGUGCAGACUUUGCCGGGAGAAGCCAGCGGGCGUGGGUACUGAGCGCCGGCAGCGGGGAGUGUGGUGCUGCAGGUCUGGUGUUCCUUGCCUGAUUUCCUCCGUGGCGGCGCCGGACAGCAGUAGGAGCGAGGUGAUGAAGGACACGUGGACCUGUGGAUUGUGUUUAUGUCAGUGUUGGGUCGCCCUCAAUGGGUCUCAAGUGAGGAGGAGGAUCUGUGCAGCCUCUCAGGACUCCUGCUGGGGGAAAUUGCUCUGCUCGAGGGAUCACGGUAAUGUCACAGAGAGCAAGUAGAAGAAAACCUGGGAGACUUGCUUAACUCAGGAACAAGAGCUGCACCUCACCGGAGCUCUGCAAUGUGUGGCAGCGACUGCAGGAAUCAACACUCGGGUUUGUCAGCACACAGUCACAGCGACCUUGUUCAUCAGACUGUUGGUGAAAGAUUCCACAGACCGACUGGGAGACACACAAUGUCAGUGCCACCGCACAGGGAGUGAGGCCCAAGAGGAGGAAGAGGAGCAUUCAAGAGACAUCAGCUGGCCAGCAGUCCAUUCAGGAGUGGAUGGCAGGAGUCAGUAAUCAAUAGUAUCUGGCUAGGCAUAUGUUGCACCAGUAUGCUUGAACAGCUUUGUACUAGAAAUUCAUGAUGCUGGGUGUGUGCAGUGCGUCACCUGAGAGUUCACGGCUCACUG